GCUAACGUAUCAAAACUGAAAUAAAAUAGAGAAUGGAAACAGGGAAUGUGUCAAAGGGACAGCAGCUUGUUAUAGAUGCGUUCAUAAGCGUUGAAUGGGUUUUACAAUUUUUUUUAGAAAACUAUAUCCAAAAUGUUAACAUAGUCGGUUCUUGAUAUAUUAUCAAUUUCCAUGAUAUAAUCAGAAAAUUUAUUGUGUAUGUUUAUAACAUGAAUUUUAAGAUAAGAGACAAAAAGUACAAAGUGCUAAUUGCCAGACCUCGAUAUUUAACCACACACGCUGGGAUGGAUUGAUAACAAUGUAUGCUAGAGUUAUCAGUCCUUGAAAUAGAUUUAUUGACAAGAUUGGAUUACCUCCCUUAAACCGGAC
rnacentral:lncRNA from 1 species